rnacentral:rRNA from 1 species
AAAGUCGUAACAAGGUCUCCGUUGGUGAACCAGCGGAGGGAUCAUUACUGAGUUUACGCUCUAUAACCCUUUGUGAACAUACCUAUAACUGUUGCUUCGGCGGGUAGGGUCUCCGUGACCCUCCCGGCCUCCCGCCCCCGGGCGGGUCGGCGCCCGCCGGAGGAUAACCAAACUCUGAUUUAACGACGUUUCUUCUGAGUGGUACAAGCAAAUAAUCAAAACUUUUAACAACGGAUCUCUUGGUUCUGGCAUCGAUGAAGAACGCAGCGAAAUGCGAUAAGUAAUGUGAAUUGCAGAAUUCAGUGAAUCAUCGAAUCUUUGAACGCACAUUGCGCCCGCCAGCAUUCUGGCGGGCAUGCCUGUUCGAGCGUCAUUUCAACCCUCAAGCUCUGCUUGGUGUUGGGGCCCUACAGCUGAUGUAGGCCCUCAAAGGUAGUGGCGGACCCUCCCGGAGCCUCCUUUGCGUAGUAACUUUACGUCUCGCACUGGGAUCCGGAGGGACUCUUGCCGUAAAACCCCCAAUUUUCCAAAGGUUGACCUCGGAUCAGGUAGGAAUACCCGCUGAACUUAAGCAU